AGAGUUUGAUCCUGGCUCAGAGCGAACGCUGGCGGCGUGCUUAACACAUGCAAGUCGAGCGGGAAAGCGAUCUUCGGGUCGUGAGUAGAGCGGCGGACGGGUGCGUAAGACGCGGGUGACCUAUCCCUGAGGCGGGGAUAACCCUUCGAAAGAGGGGCUAAUACCGGAUGGGCCCGCGGGCAGAGAUGCCUGUGGGCAAAGGAUGCAUUGUCAUCAGUGCAUGUCUUCAGGGCGGGGCCCACGGCCUAUCAGCUAGUUGGUGUGGUAAUGGCGCACCAAGGCGAAGACGGGUAGCUGGUCUGAGAGGAUGGCCAGCCACACGGGGACUGAGACACGGCCCCGACUCCUACGGGAGGCAGCAGUGGGGAAUAUUGGGCAAUGGGCGCAAGCCUGACCCAGCGACGCCGCGUGGGUGAUGAAGGCCUUCGGGUCGUAAAGCCCUGUCGGGUGGAAAGAACGGUGGGGGGGCAAAGAGCCCCUUCACGUGACGGUACCACCGAAGGAAGCACCGGCCAAUUCCGUGCCAGCAGCCGCGGUAAGACGGAAGGUGCAAGCGUUGCUCGGAAUCACUGGGCGUAAAGGGUGCGUAGGCGGCUUGGUAAGUCGGGUGUGAAAGCCCCGGGCUCAGCCCGGGAAGGGCACUCGAAACUGCCGAGCUGGAGUGCCGGAGGGGAGAGUGGAAUUCCUGGUGUAGCGGUGAAAUGCGUAGAUAUCAGGAGGAAUACCGGUGGCGAAAGCGACUCUCUGGACGGCAACUGACGCUGAGGCACGAAAGCGUGGGGAGCAAACAGGAUUAGGUA
rnacentral:rRNA from 1 species